rnacentral:rRNA from 1 species
GACGAACGCUGGCGGCGUGCUUAACACAUGCAAGUCGAACGGAAAGGCCCUGCUUUUGUGGGGUGCUCGAGUGGCGAACGGGUGAGUAACACGUGAGUAACCUGCCCUUGACUUUGGGAUAACUUCAGGAAACUGGGGCUAAUACCGGAUAGGAGCUCCUGCUGCAUGGUGGGGGUUGGAAAGUUUCGGCGGUUGGGGAUGGACUCGCGGCUUAUCAGCUUGUUGGUGGGGUAGUGGCUUACCAAGGCUUUGACGGGUAGCCGGCCUGAGAGGGUGACCGGCCACAUUGGGACUGAGAUACGGCGCAGACUCCUACGGGAGGCAGCAGUGGGGAAUAUUGCACAAUGGGCGGAAGCCUGAUGCAGCAACGCCGCGUGCGGGAUGACGGCCUUCGGGGUGUAAACCGCUUUCGCCUGUGACGAAGCGUGAGUGACGGUAAUGGGUAAAGAAGCACCGGCUAACUACGUG